rnacentral:rRNA from 1 species
GACGAACGCUGGCGGCGGGCUUAACACAUGCAAGUCGAACGGAAAGGCCCUGCUUUGGUGGGGUGCUCGAGUGGCGACCGGGUGAGUAACACGUGAGUAACCUGCCCUUGACUUUGGGAUAACGUCAGGAAACUGGGGCUAAUACCGGAUAGGAGCUCCUGCUGCAUGGUGGGGGUGGGAAAGUUUCGGCGGUUGGGGAUGGACUCGCGGCUUAUCACCUUGUUGGUGGGGAAGUGGCUUACCAAGGAUUUGACGGGUAGCCGGCCUGAGUGGGUGACCGGCCACAUUGGCAUGGAGAUAGGGCCCAGGCGGAUUCGGGAGGCAGGAGUGGGAGAUAUUGCACAAUGGACGGAGGCCUGCUGGAGCAACGCCGGGUGCGGGAUGACGGCCUUCGGGAGGUAAACCGAUUUCGCCUGUGACGAAGCGUGAGUGCCGGUAAUGGAGAAAGAAGCACGGGUUAAUUACGU